ACCAUUUUGAUCUGUGUAGGACAUACAGUGUCUAUCCAAAAGCUCUUAUGGGGUAAUUUAGGGACAAUAGCAGUCUUUGUUUUGAUUUUGGAUUUGUGCUUGGUUUUGCACUGAUUUGGAUGGUAAACAUACAACUGAGACUUUCCAAUUUUUAAUGCUAAUGUGGAGCUAUAUAUAUUUCAGAUUUUCAGCAGUUCCCCUUAGAUUGAUUUUUCCUUUGAUAAUUACUUUUGCCAAACCUAAUGUAUUGAAACCUGACUUGGACCGUCUUGAUUUCAGCAAAAAUAAUUCCAUGUAGUUGCUCUUUGAAUGAGGCUAGGGAAUAAAUGUCUCUCUUUUAUUUUAAGAUGAAUUAUUUCGUUGAAAGGCUAUUUUGUUUAGAGUAAGAAUUUGUAUUUGCACCCCUCUGUAGUGCUAGUCCUGCCGCAUCUGGAUGAAGCAGUUUCGCUGAAGCAACAAAGAACUUGACAAAGACUGUGAAAGCUGUCCCAGAAGCAUGAUAAAUAGCUGGUGCUUAGCUCCAGGAUCAGAACCAACUAGCUAGUGUGUGUGCCCCAUGCUUCUGUGCAGAUUUGUCAUCUGCUUAGAAAUUGGCAUUGUCCUCAUGAUGGAUGGAAUAGAAAUCUGCCCAAAUGUGGGAAGGUCAUUGGCCUUUAAAAAAAUAUCUUACAAGUGCAGCUGCACCCUUGCUGCAGUGUGCCGUCCUGCUUUGCUCCUCAUCCUGACCAGGACUGCCACACUUAUGCUGAAAGCAAGAGAAAUCCAAGUCGUGGGCUUUCCUGGAUGGGGGACAAAAGCUACUCUCAGAUAUGGCUGUGGAAUUACUGAAGUGGGAUGAGGCAGCUAUGCAUAUGUAAAACAGGAGCUGUACUGUAAUACAAAUUACAAUUCAGAGGAGCAAUGCUAUCUUUGCCUGCAUGGAAUUAUAUGGAGAUGACAGCAAAUGCACUGUAAUUUGUUUGUGUGGACAGAAAGCACACUGUAAUUUGUGUGCUUGUGAUUGUUGCAAAGUGUGCAGGGUUGUACAUCUCUUUGAGUAAUUUCUCCUCUUUGCUGCAUGCACAGCAGUGCCUGAAGCCCCUCAGUGGCUCUGCAUGCUCCUUUGUUGCUGCUUGGCGAGUUUCCCCCUUUCUUUUCUCCCUUCUUUUCCCUACUCUGAUAGAAUAGCAUUCUGGGAAAGGGGAUGCCUGCUAUUUAUGAAGCACUGCAAUGCAAACAAACCAGCUCCAAAUGAACCUUGACUGGGAAAAUCUGUGCCACACACUCUGCACUAUAUGCAAGUGGCUAGAAAUCAUGGCCAGGCAGGUGAGGAGCCCUAAGUUCCAGGCAUCUUCUCAGUCCUUUACCAGUGACUUACCAAUAGAAAUAUCUGUGAGAAAUAGGUUAAAACUAGACAGUUAAUUAGUUUUAUGAUGUUAAUUUAUUUCUGCUUGAUGGGCCUGUGCUCUGUUUAAAGUAAUCAUCAGUUACUAGACUGAGCUGUACCAUGUCUUCAAAGCCUUGUAAAAGCAAUACUUGUCAUGCAGGUAAACAGCAUUGCCCACAUUUUCCUAAGGGAAAAUAGAAAAGCAGAGCAAUGUGCAGUGAGGCUGUAGGGGAGAUGAUUCAGCAUACAGCUCUGGACCUUGUUUUCUUAGCUGAAAUAAACUAGUACAGAUAUAAAACUGGAGACAUGUGAGUUCAUUACUGAGAAACAGAAUCAUUAACAGCUAAUUGAGAGGAGGCUAGCUCCAACUUGUCCAGCUGCUCUCUCCCAACAGCUUGUCCGAUGGUGUAAUACAUUAAAAACAAUAGUAAUCCUGCUGUCCAGUAACGUGUGUAGGCUAGUUAUUAUAAUCUUAACUACAGCUGAAAGUAGAAACUCAAGUAAAGCCAUCCCCAAUCUAUAGCAACAAUUCUUUCAAAGGAUUGGCCAUUAAGACAAGAGUUUCCGCAUUGCAUUGGCUUCCUUUGCUUACCAGAUUUUCUCUGCUGCCCCUAAGCCAACAGUUUCAUUCCUCAUUUUGUCCUGUGGCAGCAUUGGGUUGCCAAAAACCGUAAUGGAGUUUCAGGCAUGGAACUUGCUGGGCCUUCUUAGUGCAAUAGGCAGUACAUCUUCUCUCCCCUCACAUUUAGGUAUGAGCAUUGAAGGUAUCAUUGCCUGCUUCCAAACUUAAGGUGAAGGAGUUAUUGAUCAGGUUUGAGGCCACUUUUCUAAUACAGACUAACAUCCUCAGCUAUAUGGCUUGGUUCCUUCGCUUUGAGGGUUAGGGGAGGGAAUUGCAGUGGAGUAUUCUGAUGCCAGACCAAUGCCUGUUCCUGAGCAGCAGGCUGCUGCCGCAGAGCAGGGUGCCCAGCUCUGUGCUGCUCUGACAAACACUGUGUAUUAGGUAACUCUGAACAAGCUGUCCCGCACUUGGGAUUAUUCAUAUCACCAUGACAUUUUCUUGAGUACUGCAAGCAUUUCCUUGCACAACACUUUCACAAAGGGAAAAUGAGGCAGAAUUGCUAGAACAUCUUUCCAGCACCUGAAAACUUCAUGGUCGAAGUAACCCCAAAGAAUCCUUCAAAUCCAUACUUGUCACCAAAUAAUAAUUAAGAUGUGGGAUUACCCAACAUAGCUUUUGAUUCAUAGAGCUAGCACUGUUGAGCAUGAGGAAAAUAAUAGAUUUUAUUGGGUAAUUUGUGUGUUUGGACGCACAAUCCUUCAAGCCAAAUCAUUCCUAUGGCCCUGAGAAAUCCCUGAAUGAAAAAUUCUGCCAUUGCCACAAGUUGUCAUUAAAACACAGAGCAAAAUCCUCCUUAUUUCACCUACCACGUAAUACCAAGGAGAAAACACUGUGAGGAAAAUUCUCCUCUAAUGCUUAAAUUCCUGUCAACUUAAGCCAGGCACCAUUUUUCCUUAUUGCUGCAGAAAGGAGACGAGCUCUGAAGCCUGGACCCAUGCAAGCAAGCCUGAAAAGCACUAAAGACGUCUGGUGCAAGUAACAACUAUAGAGCAGUGACAGCACCCCGCCUUGCUUGGUCUUCUGUUCAGCACCGUGACGGUUUCGAAGACCUUGAUGUCUGACACAGCUGCACACAGGAGGAAGUCACAAAAAUGUGCUUCUUGAAAGACAACUGUGCCAGCAUGAGGCUGAUGAGGCUUGUGCAGUGAUCUUUAGACCUUUCCACUCUGAUCAAAAAUCUUCCCAGCUGCGGGUAUUCCAGCUGGCUCAGAGGAGAGAGGGAUGUCUUCAGAAAUCUUUGGGAUGUGUUCAAAAAUGCAUGUAAGUAUAUAUGUCUUUGGUACUUUUCCAGCUGCUCGCUUAAACUUGACUGUGUAUUGAGCACUAGGUGUGAAAGAAAUAUACUUGUCUUUAAAGCUAACUAGAAAAGGAUUUUUGUUUGUUUAAUUUAGAAGUUGGCAUUCUGCCUCAUACUUUUCCUUGUUGCUAAUAGCAGGUAAUUUCAGUCUCUGUCAGGUCCUGAGAACUGCUACAGGAACUGAAAGGAUUUACACCUUUUCAUUUGGCUGACAUCAACUAAUUUGGCAGGAAAAGAUCUUUGGCACUCCUGGUUUUAAGAAAUUUGCAGACCAAGCAGGGUUUGCUGAGCUGUCGUUCAAUGUCUAAGAAUUACUAAACUGUGAUAGGAUUUCAGCAGUGAAAUGGCUACAAUAGGAACAUUGCUGCUCUUAUUUCUGAAACACUGUGGGACCACCCUGGAAACUUCUUGCUGUGAUUUUCCGGAACAAUCUGGUACUGGAGACAAAGUUUGCAAUUAACUUUUAUGCCAUGUGUUUUUCAUUUAUGCACACAUUUAUCAAAUUCCUUUUCUUCUAAGAUGCCUACCUGACUUAAAAAAUAGCAAAAUAAGAUGGGAAAUAUUUGAGGAGGAGAAUUCAUGGAUGUCUUUAGUGAAGAUAACUCAGGCAAAGGUAUGGGGAGAGCCCAGCUGCUGGUGUCCAUGGUUCCACCUGGGUACUGCUCUGGGCAGGGGCCAGCCCUGAGCUUGCACUUCCUGACCCCACACAGAUAUGCGCUGUGACUCAGGGAGCGCGGGCUGGAGCCCUAGUGACAAGCGUCCUCCAUCACAGGCAAAUGACUGGGAGGUAUUCCUAAUAUAUGUGAAUACACACAGGGGUCCUGCAUAUUGGAGAUGUCAGAAAUGUCUGUUAUGAUGACUUUUAAAGUAAAAUUGAAGGAAAUAUUAAGUAAUAUUGAUCAAAAAGUGAAAUUGUAUCCUUUUGAAAAUCCCAAUAUAAUAUGAUUAUUUCAUAAUUUUCACCUUUUUUAAUACCAAGGUCCUGAAGCCAAUAGAAAGUAACGAAUCAUAUAACUGAAUCUAUAUUAUUGAUUGGCAAAGGCCUCCGAUGAUAGCAUGCACUCAUCUGUAGCUGUUAUAACUCAACAGUUAAAAGAACCAGAAAAAUAGGAAAAAGAGAUUAAAGGCAAGUAACUUGUAGAAUUUUUUAUUCCUCCACUCCCAGUUAGACAUAGCAGGAUCAUUUUGAACUGAAAAGGAGAUUAUUAUAUUCCAAAAAUCAUUCUUAUUGUCUUAGAUUGUCUUAAAUGUACUACCAGUAUUCUCUAUCAAUAUUAAAAGAGAAGCAAAUUCUUAUCUUCUUUACUAUGGUAUCAAUUUUGCUGUUUGCUUAAAUUAAGCAGUAUCACGAAUACGUGCAAUACAAAUGGUUUUCAGGAGUGCUGGGCCCAACUUGUAUACCUCAUUUGAGGAAUAUUUCUUGGCUUAUGCUAUAUAGUCAGAAUCUGCAAACUCUUUAAAAGCAUUUUAAAUCUAAGUAGUGAUUUUAAUAAUGACGUGAAUAAAAUAACCUCUAGCCAGGUAACUAGAGCCAAGUAUGCACUGAGAUCUGGCCACAACAGAUUUCAAUCCUUAGACAGAAUUUAGGUCAGAAAGAGAUACUAAGAAAUGUGACUGCCAUUCUGAGUACCACCUGCAAAACUUAUUACUGUUGUCCAAAUAUUUUGUCAGCACAUCAGGCUUAGAUUAAGUACAUUAGUAACAAACCUUAGUUAAUAUGCACUACAUUAGAAAGAUUUCGCUAGACAUCUAAUACGCCUAUCUUGACCAAGGUCUUACAUAGAUGUAGAUAUGCAUUCUAGUGUAUGUAGUUCUUCAUCCUAUAUAGUCUCGUUUUUUCUGUCCUUUGUCUUCUAAUUACCUCUGAGUGGAUCUGUUACCAGGCAUUAUCAUACUACCUCCUCUCACCAAGACAGUAUUUAUUUAGGUAUUUCCUGAAGGUAAAACAAAUACCUCAUUGACAUCAAAAACUUAUCCUUAAUUGCAUCCAUGGCAUGGCUGUUUAGAGAGACGGGCUCAGCACACACUGGCCUGAUUCAGCAAACCCAUGGGACUCACUGCAUGGGAGAGAUUUGCAAGUUCAGGAUAACUAAUAAUUUUUUUUUGCUCAUUUGCUUUAGGGCUCUUUUCAGACUGAAAGUCUGAGAACAACAAUCCUAGUCCUGAAAGCACACCUUCCUUCCUGCCACACCUUCCCUGUAACCUGCCUUAUCUACAUCAUUUAUGACCUUUUUCGCAAGAGACUGUGUAUAGUUUUUUGCGCUUGCCUGUUGCUGGCUAUGAGGAUUGUUAGUUGGCCCUUAGAUAAUAGUGUAGUAAAGAUACUAUCAAUAAUUGUCUACUUUAAAGAAGAAUAGUGUCUAAAUUUGUUGAAAUGAUAUAAAAUCCGUUAAAAAGAUCACUUUUUGCAUUGAACUCAACCUUGAAGUUGAAUUGAAAGCUGUGUAAAGGCUGAAGGACAGUUGUGAUUUUCAGGGAUGUUUCAUAUUUAUUAUGCAGAAAUGAAAAACUAGACAGUUGUACUGGGCAGCAGGCUUAAGGACUUACAGACCACAUGACAGUAUUCAGGUUGCAAGCCCCUUUGAUUGCUGAAAGCCUUGCUCCCUCACCCUCUAGUUUUGCAUUUUCACCAUAGCUGAGCAGCCACUCACACAGCUCUGCCAAAAAGGUGUGUGUGUCUAGGGAAUAAGUGCACACUACUCUGCUUCAGGCAAGGUCAGCUGGGUUAGUUCAAACAGCUGACACAUGUGGGCUUGUGCCAAGCAGCGUGCUUUGUCCGGGGCAGAUUUGGGAAAGAGCAGCACAAUCCCAGCCUGCAGAGCUGUGGGAAGAGGCCUGGUUUCCAAGAGUGACAAUUCCAGUCCCAGGAUCCUUAGCCUGCAGAGCCAGGUCUGGAAGAGGAUGUUUACUGGCAGCCCUGAAAAUAAUGAGUGCUUUCUGAGGCUACAGUCAUAUGGCCAUUGUAGAGAUGGCCUUGUGGAGUUCAAAGACGUCCGUUCCCAUCCAUAAAAUGGAAAUUACCCUCUUCCUGGCAUAGCUCAGAUGUCCAAACAAAUCACCUGGGCACUCCUCAUGUGUUUCAAAGGCAGCAGGGUCAGCAAGUACCAUCUUCACCAUUCAAUAGGGCUGGCUGGACGGCUGCUGCCAAAUGUCUGGAUGCCCGUCAUAUCUUACACAGGCCCAGCUGCUUCUCCUGUAUAUAGCUGAGCCUAGACCAGUCACCUUGCUACCUGAGGCUUUGUGUGGCAGUGCGAAGGGCCUGGAAAGUAUGCAAACUGCAUCUGAAUAGAGACUUAUGCUGCAAAGAAAUAACUUUUAAAACAAUGCACAUAUUUAAGAGGAGGAAAUUUCCAUGGGAGAAACCUUGAGUUUGUACCAGAGUGUGAAAUGGCCACAAACAUACAGGCAUUUUAAGAAUGCAGGCCGACCAAGUCUGUCAUUUAACUAACAGGAAGCAUCAGCAUAGAUGAGGCAUGAAAGUUGGUACCAGCCGCAAGCACGGUAAUCUCUGGCAAGCAUGACUACCAAAACUUGCAACCAGGCUUCUCCCUCAACUCUCAAAGCAACUUCCUUCACUCCCAAGGAAACCAAGCUGGCACUGAGUUCCCAUGAGAAGCAGACGUAUCGGGCACCUGGAGCAAGUGCCCCUGCCGGUGCAGCGUGCCUACCUGUGGCCUAGCCGUGGUCUACCUGCUGCCUACCUGCGGCCUAGCCAUGGCCUACCUGCUGCCUACUCAGGGCCUACCCACAGCCUACCUGCCUGCAGCAGGCUGGGGGCUGCUGUGAUGGUACUGCUGAUGGGAGCACCUUGGUGAUCAGAAGUCCUGCUCUGCAGAAAGCGGCUCAGCUCAUCCUGACAAAACCUGCCCUGUUUGGAUUCAGGCUUGCUGUUUAGCAAGAUACCAAGCUUCAGUUGACAGGUUGAAUAAUAAGGAUCUGUCACAUCUCUUAGUAAAUAGUUUUAAGGAAUAAUUACCUUCAGUGCUGAAAUGUUUUUAAUCUUGCUUCACUGUCCAACAAUUUUGUCUUGCUGUCUUUUCCUUUUUGAUUUAAAUUGAUUUAAAUGGCAGCACUCCCACAAGCCACUUUCCCUGCAGGCACUUCAUGCACGAGGAUGAGGCCACCCCUAACCUUGGUGUGUUGGUGCAUGGUGGUGCAACCGUGUGACCUCUUACUUCUACCCAGGGUGGAGCACAGUGCUUAUUUAGCUUGUAACAAAAACUUUUUAUCUGAAAAUUUGCCUCCAGUGGUUUGAAGCAUCUGUCUCUUUCAGGCCAUUUUCUGACACAUUGUAUACACAUUUGUUCCCCUCUAACAUUGCAUUACUAGUAGGAAAAUGUCUGCACCUGAAACCAUUGGUUUUACCACCACUGCAGCUUUCACUAUUGGUUGCAACUACUGUAUCAUUAAUUUUCUUUUUGUGUAAUGUGAGCACAAAAGUCUUGUUCUGACCAAAUCUCACACUGCCUGUACAAACUCUCCACUUGACAGUGAGGCUCAAAGCUAGAAAAUGGAGCCAGCGCAGGAGUCUGCCAUUUCUUAUUGUGAUAGUAGCAGAGCAGCGAGGAUACCAGGCAUUUGCACAGUUACACUGCACUGCUGCAGUCUUUGUUUGACAGAGACCAGUGCUGGGUACAAGAGAAACAGUCUGUACAGUAGUUGCAGCAACUGCUGCUGUAGGAGAAGCUGUAGUGCUGGAAAUUACAGGCCAUCAGCCUGCCAGGGUAUUUUCCAGUCAUCUUGUGCAAGAUGACAGUCACGGGCAUGCAUUACAGACAUAGGUUUGCACUUGAACAGAGACUUGAAUUAGUCUGUUAAGGACUUCAUUAUAAUUCCAUGUGUUAUUCCAGCAACCUUGAAGUGGGUCAGGUACUGCAAGGGAAGCCAGCACUGGUUGGACAGCAUUAAUUUUUUUUUAUUAUGUGCAUUGUCUGGUUAGACCUGUUUCUGAAAUGUGCCACUACACGACACGCUCAUUGCAGCAGCCUCAGCACAUCUCCUGCCAGGCCCUGCAUGCACAGCGCAGGCAGCCUGCUUGCACCAACCAGAGCCAGCAGGGCUUGGGCAAGGAGUGGGGCUGUGGGAUGGGCACAUCAGCAAGGGUUCUGUCCGCUGAGUCAGGUUGCUGAUGGAUUGAGCAGAGCAGGGGCAGUGCCACAGAGUCUCAUUUCCUUCCUGCUUGGAGAAUGUUUGGAAUUAUUUUAGACUGUUUUGAUUUUGGAACUGUUGAGCUGUUUAGGCUGUCAUAUUUUAGUGUUUACUCUAUUUGUGGUAUCAUUCAAAUGCAACAGAAAUUUUGUUUAAACACAGCCUACCCAAAAAGUUCUAAGCAACAAACAAGCAAAAAAACCUUUUGCUGCCUGUUUUCCUUUUGCACACCUCAGACUGCACUCCACAGGUAGAAGCACCAGCUGGCUGUGGGCUGGGGACCAGCCCAGCACAGCUCCCAAGCACACAAAGUCAGUCAGCGAGAUGUUAUUCUGAUCUGCAGGGGAGGAACAGAGAUAGGGCACUAAAAGUACACAUUUAUCUGGUUGUCCCAAGCUUUGUUGUUCUUUCAGUGAUUUUGAAUAAGAUUCUGCAUUUGGCAGAACUACUUCUGGCAGAAUCCUCAAUACAAUAAAUUCGUAAUUGCCCUGUGCUUCGCUCUUUGGAUGCCUGUUUUGCUGGUGCCUGUCUCUGUGGUGUUAAAAAAAUAUACAUUUUCCCUUAGGUUGUAGAAGUUGUGAUAAAAAGAAUGAUUUUUUUAAUUGCAUCACCCAACGUGGAAGAUAAGGAAAGUGAAGAGACCGUUUUAUAGUUAUAGUUACUGCAUCACAUAUUCGUGCAAAUCUGAAAGCAGAUAUCACAUGCAAA